AGAUUGAACGCUGGCGGCAGGCCUAACACAUGCAAGUCGAGCGGGGACUUCGGUCCUAGCGGCGAACGGGUGAGGAAUGCUUGGGAAUCUGCCCGGUAGUGGGGGAUAACGUUCCGAAAGGAACGCUAAUACCGCAUACGUCCUACGGGAGAAAGGGGGGGAUCUUCGGACCUCUCGCUAUCGGAUGAGCCCAAGUCGGAUUAGCUAGUUGGUGAGGUAAUGGCUCACCAAGGCGACGAUCCGUAGCUGGUCUGAGAGGAUGAUCAGCCACACUGGAACUGAGACACGGUCCAGACUCCUACGGGAGGCAGCAGUGGGAAUAUUGGACAUGGCGAAGCCUGAUCAGCAUGCGCGUGUGUGAGAGCCCUCGGUUGAAAGCCUUAAGCGGGAGAGUCGCACUAUACUGGCGAUGAGUACGAAAUAGACGCUAUUUUCGAGCGGUAAAAAGGUAAGGUAUCGAUAUGCUAGCAGGUGGUUGUAUGGUUGAACCGGUAAGGGAGGAAUAACA
rnacentral:rRNA from 1 species